rnacentral:rRNA from 2 species
ACAACUUUUAACAACAGAUCUCUUAGUUCUAGCAUUAAUAAAGAACGCAGCAAAAUGCAAUAAGUAGUGUGAAUUGCAGAAUUUAGUAAAUUAUUAAAUCUUUAAACGCAUAUUGCGCCCCUUAGUAUUCUAUAGGGUAUGCCUAUUUAAGCGUUAUUUGUACCCUUAAGCUCUACUUAGUGUUAGGUGUUUAUUCUACUUAGGACUUGCCUUAAAACAAUUAGUAGCUAGCAUAUUAGCCUAGAGCGCAGCAUAUUUUACGCCUCUUGUUAUAGUUGUUAGUAUCUAUUAAGACACCUUUUAAGCUCUUAACCUUAGAUUAGGUAGGGAUACCCGCUAAACUUAAGUAUAUUAAUAAGCAGAGGAAAAGAAACUAAUAGGGAUUGCCCUAGUAACAGCGAGUAAAGCGGUAAUAGCUUAAAUUUAAAAUCUAGCUCUUUUAGGGUCUAAGUUGUAAUUUGCAGAGGGCGCUUUAGUGUUAGUAGUAGUCUAAGUUCCUUAGAAUAGGACGUUAUAAAGGGUAAGAAUCCUAUACGUAGUCGCUAGCCUUUGCCGUGUAAAGCCCCUUUAACAAGUUAAGUUAUUUAGGAAUAUAGCUCUAAAUAGGAGGUAAAUUUCUUCUAAAGCUAAAUACUAGCUAGAGACUAAUAGCGCACAAGUAGAGUAAUUAAAAGAUAAAAAGCACUUUAGAAAGAGAGUUAAAUAGCACAUGAAAUUGUUAAAAGGGAAGCGCUUGUAGCUAGACUUGCCUAUAGUUACUUAUCUAGGCUUUUAUCUAGUGUACUCUUCUAUAGGUAGGCUAGUAUUAGUUUAGGCAGUUAGAUAAAGGUCUCUGUCACGUACCUCCCUUUAGGGAGGCCUUAUAGGGGAGAUAACAUACAACUAGCCUAGACUAAGGUCCGCGUAUCUACUAGGAUGCUGGCGUAAUAGCUAUAAGCGGCCUGUCUUAAAACAUAGACUAAGGAGUCUAAUAUCUAUGCAAGUGUUUAGGUGUUAAGCCUAGACGCGUAAUAAAAGUAAAUAGAGGUAGGAACCCUUUUAGGGUGUACUAUUAACCAAUCCUAAUGUCUUUAGAAGGAUUUAAGUAAGAGCAUAGCUAUUAGGACCUAAAAGAUAGUAAACUAUGCUUAAAUAGGGUAAAGCUAGAGGAAACUCUAGUAGAGGCUCGCAGCAGUUCUAACGUGCAAAUUAAUUGUUAAAUUUAGGCAUAGGGGCAAAAGACUAAUUAAACUAUCUAGUAGCUAGUUCCUGCUAAAGUUUCCCUUAGGAUAGCAGUAACGUAUUUAGUUUUAUAAGGUAAAGCGAAUAAUUAGAGGCCUAGGGGUUAAAAUAACCUUUACCUAUUCUUAAACUUUAAAUAUAUAAGAAGUCCUUAUUACUUAAUUAAAUAUAGACACUUAAAUAUACUAUUACUAGUAGGCUAUUUUUAGUAAGCAGAACUAGCAAUGCAGGAUAAACUAAACGUAGGGUUAAGGUGCUAGAAUGCACGCUUAUUAGACACUACAAAAGGUGUUAGUUUAUCUAGAUAGCAGGAUAGUAGCUAUAGAAGUUAGAAUCUACUAAGAAGUGUGUAAUAACUUACCUGCUAAAUAAACUAGCCCUAAAAAUAGAUAGCGCUUAAGCGUGUUACCUAUACCCUGCUACUAGGGCAAGAUUUAAGCCCUAGCAAGUAGGCAGGCGUAGAGGCUUGUAACAAAGCCUUAGGGGUAACCCUAGGUAGAAUAGCCUCUAGUAUAGAUCUUAGUAGUAGUAGCAAAUACUUAAAUAAGAACUUUAAGGACUAAAGUAGAGAAAGGUUCUAUAUAAAUAGCAGUUAGACAUAGGUUAGUUAAUCCUAAGAGAUAGGGUAAUUCUGUUUUAAUAUUAGCGCUUACGCUACGCCCUUAAAAGGGAAGCUAGUUAAUAUUCUAGCACCUAGAUAUAGAUUCUCCGCGGCAACGCAACUAAGAGCGGAGACCUUAGCAGGAGCCCUAAGAAGAGUUCUCUUUUCUUCUUAACAGUCUAUUACCCUAAAAUUAGUUUAUCUAGAGCUAGGGUUUAAUAGCUAGAAGAGCGCUGCACUUUUGCAGCAUUUAGUGCGCUCCUAAUAAGCCUUAAAAAUCUAAUUAAAGAAAUAGUUUUUACGCUAGGUUAUACUUAUAACUAUAGUAGGUCUCUAAGGUAAAAAGCCUCUAGUUAAUAGAAUAAUAUAGAUAAGGGAAGUUAGCAAAAUAGAUCUAUAACUUUAGGAAAAGAAUUAGCUCUAAGGGUUAGGUACGUUAGGCCUUAGGGAGAAGCCUCUAGCGUAGAAGGGCACUAACUGCAAGGUAGGCGCCUCUUAGCGCUGGGGUGUAGACACCCUUAGCAGGUUUUGGCCGUCUAGCGUACGUUUAACAACUAACUUAGAACUAGUAUAGAUAAGGGGAAUCUAACUAUCUAAUUAAAAUAUAGUAUUAUAAUAGCUAGAAAGUAGUGUUAAUAUAAUAUAAUUUCUGCCUAGUACUCUAAAUAUUAAAGCAAAGAGAUUUAACUAAGCGUGGGUAAACAGCGGGAGUAACUAUAACUCUCUUAAGGUAGCCAAAUGCCUUGUUAUCUAAUUAGUAACGCGCAUAAAUAGAUUAACAAGAUUCCUACUAUCCCUAUCUACUAUCUAGCGAAACUAUAGCUAAGGGAACAGGCUUAGCCAAAUUAGCGGGGAAAGAAGACCCUAUUAAGCUUAACUCUAGUUUAAUAUUAUAAAAAGAUAUAGGGGGUGUAGAAUAGGUAGGAGCUUUAGCACUAGUGAAAUACUACUACCCUUAUUGUUUUUUUACUUAUUUAAUAAAGCAGAGCUAGGCCUUACUACCUAACUUCUAGUGUUUAAGGUCCUUUGUAGGCUAAUCUAGGUUAAAGAUAUUAUUAGGUAGGGAGUUUAGCUAGGGCGGCAUAUCUAUUAAACUAUAACGCAGGUGUCCUAAGGGGGACUUAUAGAGAAUAGAAAUCUCUAGUAGAGUAAAAGGGCAAAAGUCCCCUUGAUUUUGAUUUUUAGUGUGAAUACAAACUAUAAAAGUGUAGCCUAUUAAUCCUUUAGUCCCUUAAAAUUUGAGGCUAGAGGUGCUAGAAAAGUUACUACAGGGAUAACUAGCUUGUGGCAGCCAAGCGUUUAUAGCGACGUUGCUUUUUAAUCCUUUAAUAUUAGCUCUUCCUAUUAUACUAAAGCAGAAUUUGGUAAGCGUUAGAUUGUUCACCUACUAAUAGGGAACGUAAGCUAGGUUUAGACUGUUGUAAGAUAGGUUAGUUUUACCCUACUAAUAACCUUGCCCUAAUAGUAAUACCGCUUAGUAUAAGAGGAACCGCAGUUUUAGAUAAUUAGUUUUUGCGGCUGUCUAACUAGGCAUUGCCGCAAAGCUACUAUCUACUAGAUUAUGGCUAAACGCCUCUAAGUUAGAAUCUAUGCUAGAACAGGGUGAUUUCCGCCUGCACUAGUUAGAUACAAAUAGGCCUUUAGCCUAGAACCUUACUAGAUUAGCGUUAGCAGCCCUAUUAAAGUUAGGGUUGUUAGCUAGUGUAUUGCAAUUGUAUAGUGCGCAGGAUUAAAUCCUUUAUAGAUAACUUA